CGGGACGGGUGAGUAACGCGUGGAUAACCUGCCUCACACUGGGGGAUAACAGUUAGAAAUGACUGCUAAUACCGCAUAAGCGCACAGUACCGCAUGGUACAGUGUGAAAAACUCCGGUGGUGUGGGAUGGAUCCGCGUCUGAUUAGCCAGUUGGCGGGGUAACGGCCCACCAAAGCGACGAUCAGUAGCCGACCUGAGAGGGUGACCGGCCACAUUGGGACUGAGACACGGCCCAA
rnacentral:rRNA from 1 species